rnacentral:misc_RNA from 1 species
AAGUCGUAACAAGGUUUCCGUAGGUGAACCUGCGGAAGGAUCAUUACAGAGAACAUUUGCCCUUAACGGGUGAAACUCUCCAACCCUAUGUUAUUAUACCUUUGUUGCUUUGGCGAAGCCGCCUCGGCCACCGGCUCACGCUGGUGAGUGCUCGCCAUGAGGACCCCAAACUCUGAAUGUUAGUGUCGUCUGAGUACUAUAUAAUAGUUAAAA